rnacentral:rRNA from 1 species
CCUACGGGGGGCAGCAGUAGGGAAUCUUCCGCAAUGGACGAAAGUCUGACGGAGCAACGCCGCGUGAGCGAAGAAGGUCUUCGGAUCGUAAAGCUCUGUUGUUAGGGAAGAACAAGUACGGGAGGAAAUGACCGUACCUUGACGGUACCUAACGAGGAAGCCACGGCUAACUACGUGCCAGCAGCCGCGGUAAUACGUAGGUGGCAAGCGUUGUCCGGAAUUAUUGGGCGUAAAGCGCGCGCAGGCGGUCUUUUAAGUCUGAUGUGAAAUCUUGCGGCUCAACCGCAAGCGGUCAUUGGAAAAUGGGAGAGUUGAGUGCAGAAGAGGAAAGAGGUAUUCAAAGUGUAGAGGUUAAAUGCGUAGAGAUGUGGAGGAACACCAGUGGCGACGGCAUCUUUCUGGUCUGUAACUGACGCUGAGGCGCGAAAGCGUGGGGAGCAAACAGGAGUAGAUACCCCAGUAGGC